rnacentral:rRNA from 1 species
AGCGAACGCUGGCGGCAGGCCUAACACAUGCAAGUCGAACGGACCUUUCGGGGUUAGUGGCGGACGGGUGAGUAACACGUGGGAACGUGCCUUUAGGUUCGGAAUAGCUCCUGGAAACGGGUGGUAAUGCCGAAUGUGCCCUUCGGGGGAAAGAUUUAUCGCCUUUAGAGCGGCCCGCGUCUGAUUAGCUAGUUGGUGAGGUAAAGGCUCACCAAGGCGACGAUCAGUAGCUGGUCUGAGAGGAUGACCAGCCACAUUGGGACUGAGACACGGCGCAAACUCCUACGGGAGGCAGCUGUGGGGAAUUUUGCGCAAUGGGCGAAAGCCUGACGCAGCCAUGCCGCGUGGAUGAUGAAGGUCUUAGGAUUGUAAAAUCCUUUCACCGGUGAAGAUAAUGACUGUAGCCGGAGAAGAAGCCCCGGCUAACUUCGUGCCAGCCGCCGCAGUAAUAC